rnacentral:lncRNA from 1 species
CUUGAAGAUAAGGGUCAUAUCUUCGCGCCGCUGUGUAAUAUCUUCUAUAUAUUGAUACAAUUUCACAGCUUCAUUGCCAGUUUCAGAUAAGGAUGUCAACCAACGAAUGAAGUACUGUAAUUUUGAACUUCGGAUUCAAAGUUUGAAUAUUCGUUGAAUGAUCUCAACACACUUGUAACUGCAUCAUAACACAGCUUGAAUUGAGCCUGAGAAGUAAAAAGCACAAUUAGUUACUUAUUUGAGCGGCAGCGCUCUCCCCGUGAAGCUGGUCCGCGCGGAGCGGAUUUUUUCUUUGUCUUGUGAUUUUUCGGGUGGAAUUACUUGGCAAAGACAGAAAAAUUCCGCGUAGUGAAAAACCGGCUUGACGAGUAAAAUUGUCUGGAAGAAGACAAUGC